AGUGAACGCUGGCGGUAGGCCUAACACAUGCAAGUCGAACGGCAGCACAGUAAGAGCUUGCUCUUACGGGUGGCGAGUGGCGGACGGGUGAGGAGUACAUCGGAAUCUACUUUUUCGUGGGGGAUAACGUAGGGAAACUUACGCUAAUACCGCAUACGACCUACGGGUGAAAGCAGGGGAUCUUCGGACCUUGCGCGAUUGAAUGAGCCGAUGUCGGAUUAGCUAGUUGGCGGGGUAAAGGCCCACCAAGGCGACGAUCCGUAGCUGGUCUGAGAGGAUGAUCAGCCACACUGGAACUGAGAUACGGUCCAGACUCCUACGGGAGGCAGCAGUGGGGAAUAUUGGACAAUGGGCGCAAGCCUGAUCCAGCCAUACCGCGUGGGUGAAGAAGGCCUUCGGGUUGUAAAGCCCUUUUGUUGGGAAAGAAAAGCAGCAGGUUAAUACCCCGCUGUUCUGACGGUACCCAAAGAAUAAGCACCGGCUAACUUCGUG
rnacentral:rRNA from 1 species